rnacentral:rRNA from 1 species
GACGAACGCUGGCGGCGUGCUUAACACAUGCAAGUCGAACGGAAAGGCCCUGCUUUUGUGGGGUGCUCGAGUGGCGAACGGGUGAGUAACACGUGAGUAACCUGCCCUUGACUUUGGGAUAACUUCAGGAAACUGGGGCUAAUACCGGAUAGGAGCUCCUGCUGCAUGGUGGGGGUUGGAAAGUUUCGGCGGUUGGGGAUGGACUCGCGGCUUAUCAGCUUGUUGGUGGGGUAGUGGCUUACCAAGGCUUUGACGGGUAGCCGGCCUGAGAGGGUGACCGGCCACAUUGGGACUGAGAUACGGCCCAGACUCAUACGGGAGGCAGCAGUGGGGAAUAUUGCACAAUGGGCGGAAGCCUGAUGCAGCAACGCCGCGUGCGAGAUGACGGCCUUCGGGUUGUAAACCGCUUUCGCCUGUGACGAAGCGUGAGUGACGGUAAUGGGUAAAGAAGCACCGGCUAACUACGUG